GACGAAGGUGGCAAGCGUUGUUCGGAAUCACUGGGCAUAAAGCGUGCGUAGGCGGCCAAAUCAGUCGGGUGUGAAAUCCCUCGGCUCAACCGAGGAACUGCGCCCGAUACUGUUUGGCUUGAGGUCCGGAGGGGAGAGUGGAAUUCCCGGUGGAGCGGUGAAAUGCGUAGAGAUCGGGAAGAACGCCGGCGGCGAAAGCGACUCUCUGGUCGGAUCCUGACGCUGAGGCACGAAAGCUAGGGGAGCAAACGGGAUUAGAUACCCCGGUAGUCCUAGCCAUAAACGAUGGGCACUAGGUAGUGGCCGUUCCUAUGCGGUCACUGCUGGAGCAAAUGUCUUAAGUGCCCCGCCUGGGAAGUACGGUCGCAAGACUAAA
rnacentral:rRNA from 1 species